rnacentral:rRNA from 1 species
AGAGUUUGAUCCUGGCUCAGGAUGAACGCUAGCGGCAGGCCUAACACAUGCAAGUCGAGGGGUAACAGGGUUUUCGGACCGCUGACGACCGGCGCACGGGUGCGUAACGCGUAUGCAACCUACCUUUAACAGGAAGAUAGCCCCGAGAAAUCGGGAUUAAUACUCCAUAACACUAAGAAGUGGCAUCACUUUUUAUUUAAAGCUUCGGCGGUUAAAGAUGGGCAUGCGUGACAUUAGUUAGUUGGUAAGGUAACGGCUUACCAAGACUUCGAUGUCUAGGGGUUCUGAGAGGAUUAACCCCCACACUGGUACUGAGACACGGACCAGACUCCUACGGGAGGCAGCAGUGAGGAAUAUUGGGCAAUGGACGCAAGUCUGACCCAGCCAUGCCGCGUGAAGGAUGAAGGCCUUAUGGGUUGUAAACUUCUUUUAUACGGGAAUAAACUUAGCUAUGUAUAGUUAACUGCAGGUACCGUACGAAUAAGCACCGGCUAACUCCGUGCCAGCAGCCGCGGUAAUACGGAGGGUGCAAGCGUUAUCCGGAUUUAUUGGGUUUAAAGGGUCCGCAGGCGGACCAGUAAGUCAGUGGUGAAAUCUCUC